rnacentral:rRNA from 1 species
UGCAAGUCGAACGAGAAAGUGGAGCAAUCCAUGAGUACAGUGGCGACCGGGUGAGUAACACGUGACUAACCUACCUUUGAGUGGGGGAUAACAUCGGGAAACCGAUGCUAAUACCGCAUAACAUCGCAAGAUCAAAGCAGCAAUGCGCUUAAAGAGGGGGUCGCGGCUGAUUAGCUAGUUGGCGGGGUAACGGCCCACCAAGGCGAAGAUCGGUAUCCGGCCUGAGAGGGCGCACGGACACACUGGAACUGAAACACGGUCCAGACUCCUACGGGAGGCAGCAGUGGGGAAUUUUGCGCAAUGGGGGAAACCCUGACGCAGCAACGCCGCGUGGAGGAUGAAGUCCCUUGGGACGUAAACUCCUUUCGACCAAGACGAUAAUGACGGUACUGGUGGAAGAAGCACCGGCUAACUCUGUGCCAGCAGCCGCGGUAAUACAGAGGGUGCAAGCGUUGUUCGGAAUUAUUGGGCGUAAAGGGCGCGUAGGCGGCGCGACAAGUCACCUGUGAAAUCUCCGGGCUUAACUCGGAGCCUGCAGGCGA